GAGCAUUACUUAAACAUUUUAAAUACAUCUUUUGAGGGAACACAUAUUGAAGUCAUCUUUGCCUUCUAUUGGAGUGGACCCUGAAAUAAAUAAGGGGUAGAAUACUUGUUGCUGUGUUGUACCUGGGGAUACAGAGACUGAAUCAUGUGGCUGGUGAAUAUUUCCUCUUGAUGUGCUGCUUGAAUAUAUAAAGAUACCAAAUUGAAAGUUACUUAUAUUCAAAGAGUAUUCUCUUGCUUGUCCUUUAAGUGCCUCACCUUUUCAUUUAUCCUCAAUAUAUUUAAGACAUUCUAUCAAUUUCCAACUAUUGUUAUGAAAUAACUGUAUCAAACUGUAGCUGGAUAUUCUAGUCUUAUCUUUUAGUUUGUCCUCUGUCUUUGGGGCUAAUAGCUCAGUAUCUUAGAAAUUCAGCAGCACAUACAUGGCAUAAACAGCCUUCUUAUGUCUUACACUGGAAGAGAUUGUUUUGAACUUUUUAUUACAAAAUAAAAAUCCAAUUGACUCUUCUUAAUGUACUAACGUGUUUACAAACUUGGGGGCUAUUUAGAAAGUGAUAUAAAUUCUUUCACAUGAUCUGAAUAUUGGUACAAAUGACGUUCAGAACAUUCCCUAUUAUAAAGACCUACAGUUUGUACAAGUAGAAUCUUUCCAUUAAACAGUCUCAGUUUCCUUAAAGUUGUUUUCUUUUCCUUUUCUUAAGUUCAGCCUUUAAUUUGUUUAUUUCAAUUUUCUUUUUCAGGAAAUAUAACCAAGAAGAGUUCUGAGAGAAUAUCCUCAUUUGUCCUUCUGGGAUUAAACAAGAAUACUGUAUUUUUGCCAGCAUUCUCCCCUUCAAGUGCAAUAACAACUCUGGAAUCACCGAAGUGAUGAGCACCAAAUAGAUACUUACAUUUUCCCAAGAUUACAGUUGGGUUUUGUAUAUGUUAGCUUGGAAUGUCUGAGAAA
rnacentral:lncRNA from 1 species